AAAGAAAUUUUAAAAUUUCCAGAUUUUAAGAUUAUAGAAGAUAGUAAAUGGAAAAGAGUAACCUCCUCCAAAAAAAUUUGAGAAGCAAUUUCAAAAAAUGAAGCAGUGGGACAAAAAAUAUUUUUAAUUUUUCUUCCAUCAACGAGUUCUCACACUGGAUACUUUACUGGAAAUGCUGCUGGUAUAUCCCAGCCAAUUGAUGCAAGAUUAAAAGAAGAAAUAUUUACAUCGUCUGAAUUUAUAACUAGUGUUGAUGAAAUGCGUAGGAGAUUAGAAAUCAUUGUGACAAGAGAAAUUUUUAAAAAUAGUAUAUGUCCAUCUAAAUCAAAUAAAAGGUUCUUCCCAUCCAAAAAAAA
rnacentral:lncRNA from 1 species